GGUUUCCUGGUUAACACAGGUGCAUCCCGCAGUGUUCCUAGAGAACAAGACCUGCCUGACUCAUCGUUCCUGCCUGACACCGAUGUCUCUUGUGUUGGUGCUGAUGUCCUAUCCCGCCUCCAAGCAUCCAUUCCCCUCACUGCAGACGGCCAGGUUCAAUUGAAUACACCUUUGUCACGAAAAGACACUACAGUUCUUUGUUCCCUUCCCAUUUUACUGUGGAGAUGAUCUACCCACAACAGAACAAUGCUCAAUUAAUCUUCUUUACUAUGUAGCAGAACAAGGAUGUGAAGCUUCACGUCUCAAGCUGCAAUUCUGCCAACCUACUGUUAUCUUCCUUGGCCAUUGUCUGUCUCAGGGAACCAGACAUCUCACUCGUGACCGAGUUAGAGCAGUACUGGACAUUCCACCUCCAAGGACCUCAAAGUCACUACACGCCUUCCUAGGCCUCAUUUCCUAUUGCCGAGCAUGGAUCCCUGAAGCCUCGCUCCUUAUGCAACCUCUUUAUGAUGCUCUCAAGUCAGACCCAUUUUGCUUAUCCACAGAAGCCCUUGACAACUUCUGUUCUCUCAAACGUGCUAUUGCUUCUGCUCCUGCUCUUGGCCUACCAGACUAUAC
rnacentral:lncRNA from 1 species